rnacentral:lncRNA from 1 species
UGGGGUUAAAGAUCAAGGUCAUAGACUCAAGACAGAAGAAGAAAAUUGAAGAAAAGAAAAGUCUAGGAACCGCCAGGCGGCAAAAUUCACCGCUGGGCGGUCCAAGGCGAGGAGAAGGCACCUAGCAUGGACGCUGGGCGGAUUUGCGAUUAUGGGCAAACCGCCGAGCGGUGGACCCCUGCUGCCGGGCGGUGGCGCAAUUAUGGGCAAACCGCCGGGCGACAUAAGUGUGCCGUCAGGCGGUUAUCCGCUGGGCUUGGGCCUGUUUUCUGUGACGCUCC